AUAUUAAAUGGAUUUUUCGAACAGGGAGUCGGAAGCGGGGCUUGUUCCGUCCGCUCCACGCAUCGACUCGGUAUUGCAGUACCUCCGAGAACGGUGC
ensembl:snRNA U2 U2 spliceosomal RNA